UACAGAGGUCUCAAGCGUUGUUCGGAUUCAUUGGGCGUAAAGGGUGCGUAGGUGGCGCGCUAAGUCAGGUGUGAAAUUUCGGAGCUUAACUCCGAAACUGCAUUUGAUACUGGCGUGCUUGAGGACUGGAGAGGAGACUGGAAUUCAUGGUGUAGCAGUGAAAUGCGUAGAGAUCAUGAGGAACACCGGUGGCGAAGGCGGGUCUCUGGGCCGAUACUGACGCUGAGGAGCGAAAGCGUGGGGAGCGAACAGG
rnacentral:rRNA from 1 species